GACAGAGGUGCCGAGCGUUAGGCGGAAUCACUGGGCUUAAAGCGUGUGUAGGCGGAGUUCUAAGUACCUUGUGAAAUCCCACGGCUUAACCGUGGAACUGCUUGGUAUACUGGUUCUCUUGGGCCAUCUAGGGGCUAGCGGAACAAACGGUGGAGCGGUGAAAUGCGUAGAUAUCCGGAGGAACACCGAUGGCGAAGGCAACCGCCUGGGCCUGUACUGACGCUGAGACACGAAAGCGUGGGGAGCAAACAGG
rnacentral:rRNA from 1 species